UACUCGCCAAUAUAGGCGACGCGAGAUC
rnacentral:sRNA from 1 species